CUUGUAAACAUAAGAGGUCCAGCCUGCCCAGUGAUUCAUUCAACGGCCGCGGUAUCCUAACCGUGCAAAGGUAGCGUAAUCACUUGUUUUCCAAAUAAAGACCAGUAUGAAAGGCAUCACGAGAACUAAACUGUCUCCUUUCUCUAAUCAGUGAACCUAAUCUCCCCGUGAAGAAGCGGGGAUCCUGCUAUAAGACGAGAAGACCCUGUGGAGCUUAAAACAUUACAACAAUGCCCCCUCCCCCUCCAACCACCCUGAUGGCCCUUCCACACCGGCACCCUGAUUACAUGUUUUUGGUUGGGGUGACCGCGGAGAAAAACCCAUCCUCCGUAAUGAAAGGGAUUUCCCCCCUAAGCAACAAGCUACAACUUUACACAUCAAAAAAUUGACAUCUUUGACCCAAUAAAUUGAUUGACGAAC
rnacentral:rRNA from 1 species